UACGUAGGAUCCAAGCGUUGUCCGGAUUUACUGGGUGUAAAGGGUGCGCAGGCGGACUUGUAAGUUAGGGGUGAAAUCUCUCGGCUCAACCGGGAAACUGCCUUUAAGACUGCAGGUCUUGAAUCCGCGAGAGAGUUGUGGAAUUCCGAGUGUAGCAGUGAAAUGUGUAGAUAUUCGGAAGAACACCAGUGGCGAAGGCGACUUACUGGACAUGUAUUGACGCUGAGGCGCGAAAGCGUGGGGAGCAAACAGG
rnacentral:rRNA from 1 species